UAUAAUGACUUUAUUAUGGAACAUCACAUCAGAAAUUAAAAUCCACAGAAAUGCAUUUUAUGUUUAAAAACCCUCCAUUACCCCCCUCAGUCUAGUGUAACAAUGGGCUGAGGGGUGGUGGUGCAAUGCAACAAUAGGAUCAAAUAUAAAAAUAAUACUCUAGCCUAUUGUUGCAUUGCAAUGACCCCCAAUCCCAGACUAGGACAUGAAUAAGAUCUGACCUAAAUCCGAAUGUACUGCUGGGUGAGGGAGUGGGUAUGUGGGAGGGGGAGGGUUUUAAAAAUGCUCCUCUGAUGGAUAUUAAUACCUGAUACUGACAAGACACUUCUAGUGAAAAUCACAUCGAAUCAUUGAAUGCUAUCAAAGUUCAUAAGCUUCUGGAAUCGAUCACUACAAAAUACUUCACCAACUGCUUGUUAUUGGAUGAAGGCACCAAGAUUUCAAGAUCUAGAAAGGAACUGUAUUAGUGGCAGUGAUCACACAGCGACUAUACCGGUGAUAAUGCUGGUGCCAAUUUUAUGAAGUUACUUAUUUCUUUCAGGAAAUAAAUAAAAUGAACUUUUGUUCA